rnacentral:rRNA from 1 species
UUGAGAGUUUGAUCCUGGCUCAGAACGAACGCUGGCGGCAGGCCUAACACAUGCAAGUCGGACGAGAAGGUACCUUCGGGUACUGGAGAGUGGCGCACGGGUGAGUAACGCGUGGGGACCUACCUCUUAGUGGGGGAUAACGGUUGGAAACGACCGCUAAUACCGCAUACGCCCUUCGGGGGAAAGAUUUAUCGCUAAGAGAUGGACCCGCGUUGGAUUAGAUAGUUGGUGAGGUAACGGCUCACCAAGUCAGCGAUCCAUAGCUGGUUUGAGAGGAUGAUCAGCCACACUGGGACUGAGACACGGCCCAGACUCCUACGGGAGGCAGCAGUGGGGAAUAUUGGACAAUGGGCGAAAGCCUGAUCCAGCAAUGCCGCGUGAGUGAUGAAGGCCUUAGGGUUGUAAAGCUCUUUUACCCGGGAUGAUAAUGACAGUACCGGGAGAAUAAGCCCCGGCUAACUCCGUGCCAGCAGCCGCGGUAAUACGGAGGGGGUUAGCGUUGUUCGGAAUUACUGGGCGUAAAGCGCACGCAGGCGGUUUGUUAAGCUAGAUGUGAAAGCCCCGGGCUCAACCUGGGAUGGUCAUUUAGAACUGGCAGACUAGAGUCUUGGAGAGGGGAGUGGAAUUCCAGGUGUAGCGGUGAAAUGCGUAGAUAUCUGGAGGAACAUCAGUGGCGAAGGCGACUCCCUGGCCAAAGACUGACGCUCAUGUGCGAAAGUGUGGGUAGCGAACAGGAUUAGAUACCCUGGUAGUCUACGCCGUAAACGAUGGUUACUAGCUGUCCGGCCUAAUUGAGGGCUGGGUGGUUAAGCGAAAGUGAUAAGUAACCCACCUGGGGAGUACGUUCGCAAGAAUGAAACUCAAAGGAAUUGACGGGGGCCCGCACAAG